rnacentral:rRNA from 1 species
UCACAGCCGAGACAGCGACGGGUUCUCCACCCAUACGGGGAUGGAGCGACAGAAGUAUGGAAAUAGGAUAAGGUAGCGGCGAGACGAGCCGUUUAAAUAGGUGUCAAGUGGAAGUGCAGUGAUGUAUGCAGCUGAGGCAUACCAUGUGCGUACAAUUACAGCUCGAAUUACUUCGGAUCUUUCUAGAGGCAUUUGGGGCAAUGCGUCUUUGAUUACAGCAACAAUAACAUCACCAAUACGAGCAUAUCGCUGAUUACCAGCAGCUCCUAUGACUCGAAUACACAUCAAUUUUCGAGCUCCACUAUUAUCUGCUACAUUUAAAAGGGUCUGAGGUUGAAUCAU